GUGAGUUUAGAGACACCAAUAGGCCCUUACAAAAUGAGACAAUGGAAGCUUCAAAUUCAUGUAUGAAGUUUGUUCAUAUUUAUAUCUUAUUUUUUUCUACUAUUUCACAUCUUGACUAGUUAUCCUUGUACGUGCUACUUGGUAUGACUGUUGUAAAAGAUGUACAUGACCAUAUUACUGGAAUGGCUGAGGAAAUUGAAGUGCAAGCUACUGCUCCAAAAGCAAGCUCUUAGAAAGUGGGUAGGAUUGCUUGCUGUUGGUUUUGUCAUGUUCCAAGACACACCAAAAAAUCUUGCCCUUAUUGGAGAGCACAAGCUUGGAGAAAUAGGAUGGCUAGUGUGAAAAGAAGAAAACAAACAGCUCAUAGGCUUCUGGAUGAGCUAGAUGGUGCCGCUCAAGAUCCAUUUGAAACCUAGAAGUAGAGGCUGUUGGGACACUAGCAAAGCAUAUGUGCAAACCUGUUUUGUUGUGUUUUUGAGAAAUGCAGAUUAGCAUAUUUUUUGGUUGAAACAAUAGCAGUUCAAGCCUGUUUUUUCAGUAGCAGUAGCUUGUUCAAACUUGAAGUAGUAGCAGCUUAUCUCUAUGUUCAAUUUUUUGGACGAAGCAGUUGCAGUUCAAGUCUAUUUUGUUGUGUUUUUGAAGAUUUUCAGAUCUGUAUAUUUUUUGGUUGAAACAAUUGCAAUACAUCCCCUGUUUUGCCAUGUUUUUGAAGAAUUGUAGAUUCGCAUAUUUUUUGGUUGAA